rnacentral:rRNA from 1 species
CACGUAGGCGGACUUUCAAGUCAGGGGUGAAAUCCCGGAGCUCAACUUCGGAAUUGCCUUUGAUACUGUUGGUCUCGAGUCCGGAAGAGGUGGGUGGAAUUCCUAGUGUAGAGGUGAAAUUCGUAGAUAUUAGGAAGAACACCGGUGGCGAAGGCGGCCCACUGGUCCGGUACUGACGCUGAGGUGCGAAAGCGUGGGGAGAAAC